rnacentral:tRNA from 3 species
GGAGAGGUGGCUGAGCGGUUUAAAGCGGCGGUCUUGAAAACCGUUGACGGUUGAUCCCGUCCGGGGGUUCGAAUCCCUCCCUCUCCG